rnacentral:rRNA from 1 species
GAUGAACGCUGGCGGCGUGCCUAAUACAUGCAAGUCGAGCGAACAGACGAGGAGCUUGCUCCUCUGACGUUAGCGGCGGACGGGUGAGUAACACGUGGAUAACCUACCUAUAAGACUGGGAUAACUUCGGGAAACCGGAGCUAAUACCGGAUAAUAUAUUGAACCGCAUGGUUCAAUAGUGAAAGACGGUUUUGCUGUCACUUAUAGAUGGAUCCGCGCCGCAUUAGCUAGUUGGUAAGGUAACGGCUUACCAAGGCGACGAUGCGUAGCCGACCUGAGAGAGUGAUCGGCCACACGGGAACGGAGACACGGUCCAGACGCCUACGGGAGGCAGCAGUAGGGAAUCUUCCGCAAUGGGCGAAAGCCUGACGGAGCAACGCCGCGUGAGUGAUGAAGGUCUUCGGAUCGUAAAACUCUGUUAUUAGGGAAGAACAAAUGUGUAAGUAACUAUGCACGUCUUGACGGUACCUAAUCAGAAAGCCACGGCUAACUACGUG